rnacentral:antisense_RNA from 1 species
AGUUAUGGCGGCUGUGCGCGGGAGACCUUCGAGGUCUGCCGGUUUCCUGGUUCCCGGUUUUCCAACCUGCGCACAGCUGCCACCCAU